rnacentral:rRNA from 1 species
GAUGAACGCUGGCGGCGUGCCUAAUACAUGCAAGUCGAGCGAAGCGGGGCCGGGUGAGUAACACGUGGAUAACCUCCCAUAAGACGGGGGUAACUUCGUGGAACCGGUGCUAAACCCGCACCUUAUAGCUGGAUCCUGGAUGCAUUAGCUAGUGGGUAAGGUAACGGCUUACCAAGGCAACGAUGCAUAGCCGACCUGAGAGGGUGAUCCGCCACACUGGAACUGAGACACGGUCCAGACUCCUACGGGAGGCAGCAGUAGGGAAUCUUGCGCAAUGGGCGAAAGCCUGACGGAGCAACGACGCGUGAGUGAAGAAGGUCUUCGGGUCGUAAAACACUGUUAUCAGGGAGGCGGUACCUAAACAAAAAGCAACGGCUAACUACGUGCCAGCAGCCGCGGUAAUUC